rnacentral:rRNA from 1 species
GACGAACGCUGGCGGCGUGCUUAACACAUGCAAGUCGAACGGAAAGGCCCUGCUUUUGUGGGGUGCUCGAGUGGCGAACGGGUGAGUAACACGUGAGUAACCUGCCCUUGACUUUGGGAUAACUUCAGGAAACUGGGGCUAAUACCGGAUAGGAGCUCCUGCUGCAUGGUGGGGGUUGGAAAGUUUCGGCGGUUGGGGAUGGACUCGCGGCUUAUCAGCUUGUUGGUGGGGUAGUGGCUUACCAAGGCUUUGACGGGUAGCCGGCCUGAGAGGGUGACCGGCCACAUUGGGACUGAGAUACGGCCCAGACUCCUACGGGAGGCAGCAGUGGGGAAUAUUGCACAAUGGGCGGAAGCCUGAUGCAGCAACGCCGCGUGCGGGGUGACGGCCUUCGGGUUGUAAACCGCUUUCGCCUGUGACGAAGCGUGAGUGACGGUAAUGGGUAAAGAAGCACCGGCUAACUACGUGCCAGCAGCCGCGGUGAUACGUAGGGUGCGAGCGUUGUCCGGAUUUAUUGGGCGUAAAGGGCUCGUAGGUGGUUGAUCGCGUCGGAAGUGUAAUCUUGGGGCUUAACCCUGAGCGUGCUUUCGAUACGGGUUGACUUGAGGAAGGUAGGGGAGAAUGGAAUUCCUGGUGGAGCGGUGGAAUGCGCAGAUAUCAGAGGAACACCCAGUGGCGAAGGCGGUUCUCUGGGCCUUUCCUGACGCUGAGGAGCGAAAGCGUGGGGAGCGAACAGGCUUAGAUACCCUGGUAGUCCACGCUGUAAACGGUGGGUACUAGGUGUGGGGUCCAUUCCACGGGUUCCGUGCCGUAGCUAACGCUUUAAGUACCCCGCCUGGGGAGUACGGCCGCAAGGCUAAAACUCAAAGGAAUUGACGGGGCCCCGCACAAGCGGCGGAGCAUGCGGAUUAAUUCGAUGCAACGCGUAGAACCUUACCUGGGUUUGACAUGGAUCGGGAGUGCUCAGAGAUGGGUGUGCCUCUUUUGGGGUCGGUUCACAGGUGGUGCAUGGCUGUCGUCAGCUCGUGUCGUGAGAUGUUGGGUUAAGUCCCGCAACGAGCGCAACCCUUGUUCACUGUUGCCAGCACGUUAUGGUGGGGACUCAGUGGAGACCGCCGGGGUCAACUCGGAGGAAGGUGGGGAUGACGUCAAGUCAUCAUGCCCCUUAUGUCCAGGGCUUCACGCAUGCUACAAUGGCUGGUACAGAGAGUGGCGAGCCUGUGAGGGUGAGCGAAUCUCGGAAAGCCGGUCUCAGUUCGGAUUGGGGUCUGCAACUCGACCUCAUGAAGUCGGAGUCGCUAGUAAUCGCAGAUCAGCAACGCUGCGGUGAAUACGUUCCCGGGGCU